rnacentral:lncRNA from 1 species
CAUACUCCAUGCUGUUUAGCAGAUGUGAGGCCAUAGCCAGCCACGACAACCACACAAUAUGCAAGUUUUCCCUUGUGCAGGUGUUAAACCUGUCACCAGCAACAAUCUCAGGAUCAUCGCUUGGAUACACAGCAUCUCAUUGCAUUAGGAAAACUACCGAUGUCAAUCAAAUAACGGAUAUCUUUUUUCCUCUUGUAUUUAAAUGUCCUCGUGUACGCCCAUGUGAAUGUGGGUGUAUUCACGAGGACACCCUUUUUACCCUAUCCCGUCUGAUGUCCUUUAACUCUUCAGCGGAUGGAUGGAGCAACUGACGUAGGUGCCUGGCUUGCAUCCCAGUCGUAAAGGUAGGACAAAAUUGAUCUCUAUUCUUCUUUUUUUUUUUUAAAUUUUUGGUGGCGUUGAUUAUAAAUCGUUACGUAGUCACGGAGUACGUUUAUUCCUGAGUUGACUGCGAUUGUUUUCUCCCUCCGUUUUUCUUUAAAAAUCUUAUUUGUUGAACGACUGCAUAGAUCAGGCCUGUUUUUAUACUUUAUAACUUUUUCUAUGGGUAAACCAUCACAUUCGGAAUAUUUGAACUUUAAACACUUGAAUUAAAGUGCAACAAUAAGACAAUUUUAUACCCAGAGGGGCCUGCCACCACACCGGCACCUCUUUGUUAUGCGAUUUAGAUGUAAAAGUGCGUACAGGAAAAUGGCACGCAGACACGUCCAUAUGUCUCGCUUUCUUUGUGUCGUCGGCCAUCGAUUCAACGUCGUCUUGUCUGUAUGCCCUCACGCCCCCCCAUGAACUCUCGCAAUCAAUGGCAGCCAACAUUUUCUUUCUCUUUCUCUUUUUUUCAACAGCGGAGAAUUCUCACGAGGCAACCGGGCAAUCUCCUGUCUGUCGAAACGGACUGACACCCAUUUAUUUUUAUUUUUAUUUUUUGGGUUCCCCCUUGCACCGCCGUCAUAACAUUCACAGUUUGGCCAACCAUCUCGAGAUCUCGCCCUCAACUACAAAAAGAAAAAAGAAGUUUUGACAGUCGAAUCGAGUUUGCUCAACGCUCUACUUGACCCGCAGGACCUUUUAAGUUUCUUCUUUUUUUCCAACCCCCCCGUAUUGUUAGAUUUCUCUUUUAAAGUGACACUUCCGAAAUCGCUACAGUGCACAUCCGGCAAGAGGAACUCGACUUCCUUUCAAAGAAUUAAAAAAGGAAAAAAAGUUCCGGCACAUCCCAACAAACAUAAGCGGGCUGCUGCGUUCAUUGAUUGCGGCUUUUCUCUUCCAAAGGGUCGGGUUUGGUGGCUGCCAAAUUCAUAUGAAAAUAAAAUCUAUCAAACAUUUUUCUAUAUAAAACAGUUGCGCAUCACUCGAAGAAACUGCCGUGUCCUUUUAUGUAUCGUCGUCGCUUUUGUUAUACCAUCUGGGGCUCUCCUUCAUCUUCUUGAUUCGGUGCGCGUAGAUUUUCUCAUUUUGGAAAAUGGUGGAGCAGGGAGGGCGGGAAGUUCAAACUUUGAGGCGAGAAAAACAAGAGCAGAGGAGGAGGGAAGAAAAAGAAACAACAAAGUUUGAUCUGGCUCAGCCAAUCGUGCGCCAAUUCGACUCGCGAUACUCUUUGAAGUUUGCCCUCUGAUUCAUCGAGGCAUAAAGAGAAGAUCCUACCACUUAAGACACCAACCCAGAGUAGAGCAGAGAUGGUAACAAUCAAGACUCACUAAGCCCGGGCGGCGGCACAGGAUAGCAAAAACA